UACGUAGGGUGCGAGCGUUAAUCGGAAUUACUGGGCGUAAAGCGUGCGCAGGCGGUUGUGCAAGACAGAUGUGAAAUCCCCGGGCUUAACCUGGGAACUGCAUUUGUGACUGCACGGCUAGAGUGUGUCAGAGGGGGGUAGAAUUCCACGUGUAGCAGUGAAAUGCGUAGAUAUGUGGAGGAAUACCGAUGGCGAAGGCAGCCCCCUGGGAUAACACUGACGCCUCAUGCACGAAAGCGUGGGGAGCAAACAGG
rnacentral:rRNA from 1 species